ensembl:misc_RNA Metazoa_SRP Metazoan signal recognition particle RNA
ACUGGGUUUUUUUUGCAUCCUGCUUUUAAAAAACAAGAAGGCCAUGCUGUUGGAGGAUCACUUGGGCCCAGGAGUUCUGGGCUGUAAGUGUGCUAUGCCAACAUUUAGCAUCAACAUAAUGACCCCCUGGGAGUGGAAGAACCCCAGGUUGCCUAAGGAGGAGUAAACUUCUGCAGGUCAGAAAUGGGACAGAUCCAAACUCCUGUGCUAAUUCUUAGUGGGAUCGUGCCUAUGUAUAGCCGCACUGCACUCCAGCCUGGGCAACACAGUGAGACCCUGUCUCUC